GACGAACGCUGGCGGCGUGCUUAACACAUGCAAGUCGAACGGAAAGGCCCUGCUUUUGUGGGGUGCUCGAGUGGCGAACGGGUGAGUAACACGUGAGUAACCUGCCCUUGACUUUGGGAUAACUUCAGGAAACUGGGGCUAAUACCGGAUAGGAGCUCCUGCUGCAUGGUGGGGGUUGGAAAGUUUCGGCGGUUGGGGAUGGACUCGCGGCUUAUCAGCUUGUUGGUGGGGUAGUGGCUUACCAAGGCUUUGACGGGUAGCCGGCCUGAGAGGGUGACCUGCCACCUUGGGACUGCGAUACGGCCCAGACUCCUACGGGAGGCAGCAGUGGGGAAUAUUGCACAAUGGGCGGAAGCCUGAUGCAGCAACGCCGCGUGCGGGAUGACGGCCUUCGGGUUGUAAACCGCUUUCGCCUGUGACGAAGCGUGAGUGACGGUAAUGGGUAAAGAAGCACCGGCUAACUACGUG
rnacentral:rRNA from 1 species